GACAAAUCAAUGACCAGAUUGGCAACCAGCUCCAGCUACUCAGCAUCACUCUGACUAUUUGUGCUGGUUGGCUUCUGUCUCAGCUGUAGGGAGGACAUUGUGUUUUAAAGUCUUCUCUUUCUGUCCUGAAGUAGGUCUACCUGCUUAAUACACACAGACCUUCAUAUAGGUAAAGCAAAGGCUAUGACUUAACUCUACCUUCAUAUAUUGGGCUGCCUUUAUCACAAUAGUUUCACAGUUUAAAAACGUGUGUUUUCAAAUGACUGUAUGCUACAUUGAUCUUUGGAUCACACUUGGAAUGUGAAAGGUUUCCUAGUGUUAGUUUUAGGUCUCCCUGAAGUCCGUAGACUUCCACUCUAUUAGUCACCCUAGAACACAGUCAACGAGCCUAACGGAGAUGUGUAUUCAUUAGGGAUAUACUGUAGCUAAAUGUUUAAUGGAGGGCUGCGCAGCGUUUCUUGGACCAAUUCAGAAAUUGGUACACAAGGAGGAGUAACACUAGUAUUUUUAGGAUUAAGUGAAAAUAGGGAGACAAUGUAUUUGUAUUCAGGGUUUAGUCUUUGAAUCGUGGAUUUGUGCAGAUUCCCUUGGCCUUCCUUCCUGUUUAACUGUUGAUGUCUGGUCUUGCUGUAGAGACUGAAUACAGCAGGAUUAUUGCUGGACUUUUUUGUUUUCUUAACUAUUUUACAACGUAUUCAUUGACGAAACGAACUCCACUACAAAUACAAGCCUCUACAGAAGAACCUCUGGUCCUUUUUUUGUUAGAAAUAAAAAGACAAAGAUGUUUUAUUUUCUAAGAGUAUGUAGUAGAAGCAUUAGUGAAAUAACCUACUAUGAUGGAUCAUAUUUUUUAUUUUUUUAUCAGUGGGCUAUUUUGUUUUUUUUUGUUCCUUUUUUUGUGGAAAGAUUCAGAGACUGUAUCCAGACCUGCCUUACUGUUACAAUAUAUUCCUUUUUUGUGGAAAGAUUCAGAGACUGUAUCCAGACCUGCCUUACUGUUACCAAUAUAUUCCUUUUUUUGUGGAAAGAUUCAGAGACUGUAUCCAGACCUGCCUUACUGUUACAAUAUGUUCCUUUUUUGAACAGGGAGUUAUUCUACCGUAAACUAAGAUUAUUUUUACGUAUUAUUUUUUUAAGGAUACUUCCACUGACAUUCUUAGAGCUGUCAUUUUAUUGUGAGGAACUGCAGUUCGAUCGGAAUAGUUUUUCUGUUUUUGUCCUCUGUUUUGUGAGUGACCCUCUCCCUCAGUCAACUCGUCUCAGUGCACAAGUCUCCCCUUCUCCAGACACCGCGUAUGAAUCAGAAUCCGUAGCUAGUUGUGACACGUGAGCCUCUGGAUGAAAAGCAGAGUAUCCCUAAAGCAGCGUGGUCGUAUCAGCCCCCCAUGUUGGACUAAACACUUUCAACUCUACACAAGUGAAAACCCCAAUUCCCUAAAGAUCCUCUAUUUGCCAUACUAGAGGGACAUGAAGUCUGACUCCUUCCUCAACAUGUGGACCUGCCCUGAGGAUGUUGGACAUCACUGUUACACCUUCAGCCUUGUUGAUUUCCUGUCAGACUGGUUGUUUUUUAACUCCAUUACACGGACGGACUGACCUGAACUUUUACCAGAACAGGAACACAAUGUUCAACAGACUCUCCUCGCCAGUGGACUGACUACUGAGACUGGUCGUCUUUGAACUCAAGAGGAACACAAUGUUCAACAGACUCUCCUCACCAGUGGACUGACUACUGAGACUGGUCGUCUUUGAACUCAAGAGGAACACAAUGUUCAACAGACUCUCCUCACCAGUGGACUGACUACUCAGACUGGUUGUGAGGUCACAGGAAAUAGAGUGAUCUGUUAGGAGGGAUGCAGCAUUGUAAUCCUGAUUUAGAUGAUGGUUAUAAGGAGAGUUCAGGUCGUAACCAGUCCACUGAGAUGAAUGUAGAUGUCUACACCCUGGCCAAUAUAAAAGGCUUUGGAGAGGUAAUGUAAAGUGUCCAAGGCGGUAAAAUAAUCCCUGAUUGUAUUAAAUAAUGUAUUACAUUCCCUUCAUUACAUUUCCUACAUCACAUUUUGGAAAUACAAUGGUCAUUAAAAAAUAAAAUUAAAAAAUCUGCAUUUACACUGUU